rnacentral:rRNA from 1 species
UACGAAGGGGGCUAGCGUUGUUCGGAAUUACUGGGCGUAAAGCGCACGUGGGCGGAUACUUAAGUCAGGGGUGAAAUCCCGGGGCUCAACCCCGGAACUGCCUUUGAUACUGGGUAUCUCGAGUCCGGAAGAGGUGAGUGGAAUUCCGAGUGUAGAGGUGAAAUUCGUAGAUAUUCGGAGGAACACCGGUGGCGAAGGCGGCGACCUGGGUAGAUACUGACGCUGAGGUGCGAAAGCGUGGGGAGCAAACAGG